UAGGCAGUGAGCCAAGGACUGGAAGUGAAAAUCCCUUUUCUAACACACCAGAUCCAACUAAUGAGCCAAUUAACAGGUCCUUGAAUCAACACCACAAGAGUAGGGAUUUUACUAAAUCUGAAUCGAAAGGUUUUUGCACCCGACAAACAGAACUGCAAAAUUGAAGUGUUCAAAGAUACACAAGUACACACAGGCAUACACAAAAAGAGCUUUGGAUAUCCCGAGAUGACCUUGCUAUGAGACACAUGAUGACAGGUGAGGCACAGAGCGGCUCUGCGCACUAAGCUAAGUGAAGAGGUGCGACGUAAAUAUAUUGCUGCUAAUAAGCAGAUGUACCAUUAAAACUAGCCAAAGGGCAAGGCUGGGACUUGUGAAUGCACAAACCAGCCACGGCUAGCAGUAAACAGUCCAUAAACAAAGGAACGUUCUGAACAAGGUCAACUCUAACAGCCAUCCUUCCACAGCGCCUCCGUUUUAAUGAGCUACUCCGUAAGCCGUGCCCUCCAUUAGUCUUGCACAAACGGCGCCGGUGGUCCUUCGCGUUUUCCAUCGGGGGGGCAUAAUGGUGUGCGUAACUGACACUCGGCUUGCAAGGCAUGAUAAUGAACAAUAAGAACUUGACCACGAGGGAUGGUGCAGACGAGCUGCUGUAGGUCAUGCUGGACAAGUGGCGGACAUGGCUUAGCCAACUCAUGGCUCAAAGGAUUAAAACACCCUACUCAGAUGACGUGCCUCUGACUUCCAUCUUCCAUUCUCCAGUGGCUCUCUGAGUAUAGCCAAUAACAGCGGUAUUCAGUACACAAGUGCGUACGCUUGUCUCUGAGUACCUGGGAUUCAGCUGCGGGGGUUUAACCUGUGCCAAAAACCGUACUGUCUCAUCCAGGGGAAGCACAGCCAGCACAUGCCACUGCGGUGUCCUGAUCACCCUUCCUCUCCGGUUAAAAAUGCACUCUUGGAACUCGCUCUGCUUGAAAGUGCCAAGCACCUUAUAAGGAAGAGGAAGCUCAGAGCUGUUUUUGUCUCUGGAGCUUAUGAAAAACUCAGUGACAACAUUCCCAGGAGAACCCCUGUAAAAGUUGGAAUCCAGUUGUUUGGAAGCCAAAGGUCAAGAAUAGGAAAAAAGGUGGGUGGACAAGGUCAGUGGAAGAGGUCAUGCAAAGCAUACACUUAUCUGGCUACAACAUCAAUUGAAUACUUACGUUAAUCCUCCAGCAGGAGAACAGACAAUGAGAAAGUACUGUGUGCAGUCAGAGAAUAAACAGAGUGUUCGUUAAGGGAUUCAUGGGAAGAUUUUUGACGAAUAAAAUUUAACCUUUAAGUUAACCAGCCAUGCUAGAACAAAUUCACAACAUAAUGGAUGGGAAAAAAAACAUAAAAGCUGAACAACAGACAAAAAAUGAACCAUAACACAACCAUAGCAGAACGGAGACACAAUUUAAAAAAUGUAUAGAAGUGCUUACUAUUCGGGGUUUAACUGGCGGUUUUCUAAACACUACAUAAACGCAUGAAGCUUAGUGAUUUUCACAUGAAGAAUAAAAAAAAGCUGUUUUAAAAGUAGCAACAUGUAGCAAAAUAUUAAAGUGUGACAUAUAAACAAAAAAUAAAGAUGUACUGUACUGUGUAAAAGUCUUAGGCACCCUAUUUUUCUUUAGUACAAACGUUGUUAUAGAUUUUUAUUUUAUGAUUCUACAUUAUUGGUUCAGUACAAAAACAUUUUAGAUUCCAAACAUUAGUUUUCCAGCACAAAAUUAAAUGUUACAGAAAAAUGUUUGUAUGUCAGUAAAGAAAGCAGCAUAAGAGACCACGUUUCAGAUAAAAAACAUAAUGAAGGCUGCUGGGUUUCGCUGCAAAAAUAAGAAGCAAGUCGACAGUCAAAGUCUCCAGAAGAACUGUGGCUGCUUCUGCAAGAUGCUCAGUAACACUUCCAGCUCAUUUCCUUAUAAAACUGCACACACUGCACCGGAGAUACUGGGUUUCUUUUAAACGUGAAGGAUCGUCACACCAAAUAUUGACUUUGUUUCAUUUAUUACUGUUUACUGCUCUUUAUAGUAUUUUUUUUUAGUGUAGAAUCAUUUAAUUUCAUUAUUUUUGAAGGUAUCUUUACUCUACAGCAUGUCUUUACAUGUGCCUAAGACCUUUGCACAGUACUGUAUAAAGAAUCACCAACUGAUAUAAUUACAUCAUGGCACUUCUAAAUUGAAUCUUCAGGCCUCGAGAGAUUUCACCCCUGCUGUUCCUAACCAUCAGCACAACACGCAAAACUAAUUUGCACAGCAAAAUUAAUAACAAACUUCUCAAUUCUCAAACUGAUUACCUCUGAUAAGUGUGAAAACGGGACAAAGAGAGUCUGAGAGACUGUAUUUAGCUUCAGAGAAAUCAGUGCCCCGAUCCUUUUAUGGAGAAAUUAAUUUAAAAGCUACUUUGAGCUGAGGAAAAAAAAACAGGCCUUAGAAAACAAAAGUGUGAGAUGAGAGCCCAGAGAGAUCAGACCCCUCCUACGCAUCUCGUUUUGCUAUCAUCCCCUUGAUUUCUCCACCCCUCUGCGCUCUUUCACUCAUAAACUCUCAGACAUCCUGAACAAAACUCCCAGAGCGCACUGUCAGCCGCUGAAGCAGUGUGUGAACCGGAGCGAGGACGUAAAACCCACCCGCGGAGGCUGGACCUCACUGCCGCGGCCUCGCUUCUACAGGCUCAGCUCUUUCCAUGUGUGAAGGAUGGACAGCGUGGUGUAACCUCGUCCUCCUCCCGGCACCGCACGCUUAGCACGUCUGUCCCUGAGCCACACGGUGCCUCACUGCGAGCUCGCACUCUGCGAUUGUCCAGCUCCGACACACCAGCUCUGAAAUCUUCACCAUGGAUCUCACCAACAACCGGGGUCUCAACCUGCUGCUCAACUUCCUGCUCAUCGUCAUCGUGCUGCUGCUCAUGCUCAUUCUGGUCAAGCUCAUGUGACCUGAGCUGAGCUGCUCACCAAGCACGCAAGACUUAAUAUGGCCUGAACACAUUUACUACAGAGGGAGAGGCAUCGGUCUCUCUCUCUCUCUCUCUCUCUCUCUUUCUCUCUCUCACACGACUUGUCUGUUUGAGUGUCUGUUCCACUUUCUCACUUUAUAAAUCGCAAUUUGAUGCAUCGCUUUAAGACUAAGUGCUCCUUAAAGCAACGUAGGAGGUCUUUUAUGUGGAAAAGAUGUGCGUGUUUUAACGACAACCUAAAAUCAAAACUGACCUUUUUACCAUGAGAGCGCACAUCCUUGUUCAGAUUGUGCUUGAAAAACAAUUCUAAUUUGUCCAUAAUCUUCCACUAAAGUGCAGCACUAAACGUUUUCCUGCCUCUAAAUAGCCUCAGACUUUUAGCUACGUCACUGUGAAAAUAACGGACGGGAUUAAAAAAUAAAAACCAUUCAGCAAAGGCAUGCUGAGACGCCCACUUUUCAUAAGCCAGUCAAAGUCUGAGGGAUAAAACCCAAAGCCCACUAAUACAUGCUGUUUUACCCAGAAAUGUCAGUUUAAAGCCCUAUUUGGAUUGGAUUCGUUUUAUACGUGGAGGUGGACUAAUGUAAUUAUUACCAAUGUAUCUCUGGGAUUUUGGUCUGAAUCCGUCAUGUCAGAUAAAAUAUAGAUGACGUUUAAAAUAACUUUUCAGAGAAGUGAUGCUUUUGGGGUUUUAGGGAAGUUAUUGAGCUCCACAUGCGCACAGGUAAAGCUUACAUACAUGUCAUGGUCAUGUGACCUUUUGCUCAAACACAACUUGUGCAGCCACAAGACUUACAACAUGUGCUUAUAAUAGAGGUCAAUACGAUCAGUUUGGUGUAUGUAACAGGAGCGUAAACCUCAGGCUUCAAUUCUUACCAGACUUGUGUCUGAAAAUCUUAUCCAUCCGAACAGCACUUAAGACACGUAAGUGAUAAACACGGCUUCCUACUCGCUUGCACCAUCUGGUGGUGAUGUUUAUACUGCAGUGAUUAAAACCCUAAGACCAAUGUCUUUAAUUCCACUCCUCCAUCCUUCUCCCAAUGCCCUAUAAACUGCACAGUGCAUUAUGGGAGAUCUGCAGACCCUAGGCUACACUGUUCGAUUUGGUCUGAUGAUAAAACUUCUCACUACAUAGUGAACAUGGGUAGGGUAUCGACUUUGCCUCUCAAACAUACCUGAUUCAGCUGACUAGGAGCUGGGUGAUAAGACUCGAUUGUUACUCAUGGUGACGAACAGCUGGUGUGUACCAAAUGUUUCAUUUUUAAAGUGUUUUAUUUGUCUGGACGUCAAAUGAAAUGUCUUUAAAACCGUCCUUGUCACAGAAACUUUUAAAUGCGGCACUAGGGGUGGGUGAUAUGACAAAAGUCAUAUAUCAUGAUACUUAAAGAUAUAUAUAGAUAUAUAUAUAUAUAUAUAUAUACACACAAUAUAUGAAAAAUAAGUUUGCUAAAAAAUAAAAACAGCAGCAAACCAAUAGUGUCGCAUCAUGACUGAGUUGUAGGAUACUGAAAUAAUUUAACUGAAAAGAAGGAAAAAUAAAUGCUGUAAAAAAAAAAACUGUACAUAUUACUACACAAAAUUUUAACAACAAAUCAGCAACCAAUCAGUUUUAAUUCUAUUUUAAAUAUUAAAAAAUAUUUAUACCAAAAUCUGCGAUAUCUCAGAAGAGUAUUGCGAUAUAAUUGUUCACAAUAUCGAUAUUAUUGUCAUAUUACCCAGCCCUAUGCUUCACUACUGUUUUUUUUUGUUUGUUUGUUUUUUAGCAGUUCGCAAAAGUAAAUAUCUUGAAAUAUAUUUUAAGUAUAUUAAUGCAGUAUUUUUGUCAUGUCAUUCACCCUCAUUGUCAUGUGUGGUAGAGCUGAAAUGAUCAAACUGUGCUGCACGCUGCCUUCCAGGACUCAGACUGAUGACCUCUGAUCUAAGAAAUGUAAUAACGUGGCCAUGAUGGGUCUCCAAAUCAUAAAGAAAGAAAGAAAGCUGCCUGAGUGAAACGUGGUGUACAGUGAUGAAACACACAUGGCUGUUCGAUUACAGAAAAUAAUCACCAUUUUACAACCUGAAACACUGAUGUUACACUGAUGUUACACUGUUUGGUUUGUAUAUAGUUUCUGUAGAAAUGUAAUCGAUGUUGUUUGUACAUUCACGAGUGUGCUGAUUUUAAAAUGUCAGCAGAUACACAAGAGAGAGAUUAGAAUAAAGGUGUAAGUGAACUAAACUGCAAAUAAACAUCCUCCACUGAUGAUCACA